GCAGACACAUUCCAGCCAAUCAGCAGCAGACCCUCCCUCCCAGACCCUCCCACCUCCUGGACAGCUCACUAAGAAUGCAGCUUCACAAUGGAUGCUGUCCAGGAGGUGGGAGGGUCUUGGAGGGAGGGUCUGCUGCUGAUUGGCUGGAAUGUGUCUG